AACGAACGCUGGCGGCAGGCUUAACACAUGCAAGUCGAACGAGAUCUUCGGAUCUAGUGGCAGACGGGUGAGGAACACGUGGGAACAUCCCUUUCAGUUCGGAAUAACGUUGGGAAACUAACGCUAAUACCGGAUACGUCCUUCGGGAGAAAGAUUUAUCGCUGAAAGAUUGGCCCGCGUCUGAUUAGCUAGUUGGUGAGGUAAUGGCUCACCAAGGCUACGAUCAGUAGCUGAUCUGAGAGGAUGAUCAGCCACAUUGGGACUGAGACACGGCCCAAACUCCUACGGGAGGCAGCAGUGGGGAAUAUUGGACAAUGGGCGCAAGCCUGAUCCAGCCAUGCCGCGUGAGUGAUGAAGGCCCUAGGGUUGUAAAGCUCUUUCGCCAGGGACGAUAAUGACGGUACCUGGAUAAGAAGCCCCGGCUAACUUCGUGCCAGCCGCCGCAGUAA
rnacentral:rRNA from 1 species